AUAAUGCCCCGUUUUUGUCGCAAGAUUUAAAUGGGUUCAAUACCAAAACCGUGUCUAUCUACCAUUGUUGCUUUGGCAGGCCGCCUUCGGGCGUCGGCUCCGGCUGACUAGCGCCUGCCAGAGGCCCAAAACUCUGUGUUUAAUGAUGUCUGAGUAUUAUAAAAUAUUUA
rnacentral:misc_RNA from 1 species